GUGUGUAUAGGUGGCAGGGAAGUCAGGCGUAGGAGAGUCAAAAUGGAGUGUAAAUUGAGUCUUUUAAUAAAUGUACACGUAACAUGCUCCAUAACACUAAAAUGUACAGCCAUAAACAAACAUGGGUACGAGGACCCGUCGAGCACCGAUACAACAUAAAACUACACUGACAAUAAAACAAUCUCUAACAAAGACAUGAGGGGAAACAGAGGGUUAAAUACACAACAGGUAAUGAAUGGGAUUAAAAACAGGUGUGUGGGAAGACAAGACAAAACCAAUGGAAAAUGGAUCAAUGAUGGCGAGAAGACCGGUGACGUCGACCUCCGAGCACCGCCCGAACAAGGAGAGGCAACGACUUCGAUAGAAGUCGUGACGACCGUAAAUAUUAGAAAGCCGGGUUUGACCGUCGGCGUUGUAUGAGCUACAGUACAGUACCGUUAUCUAGCAAGAUAACGUUAUGUCCUAACUAGGCACAACUAGGUUUGGAUUAUUUCCCUCAACUAUAUUCGUUCCCAUAUAUUGUAUAUCGUUUCCAUAAAGCCAACAUGGCUUUACACUCAAUAACGUACGUUUCCAAUUUAGAGCAGUUCUCAGUUUUGUGAUAAUGAACUAGCAAACGUUAACUAACUAAGGACGGUGACCAGUCCUGACGAGAUGUUACAACGAACUGAAUCGUCAAUGGAGCUCUUCCUCUUUAUAUAGCCUGCUACAGCAUGCUAUACUAUUAACUCACAAGGGGGCGUAACUUUACAUGUACAAUACUAUCCCAUUUUGGAAACGUUACAUGGACAAUACUAUCCCAUUUUGGAAACGUUACAUGGACAAUAAUAUCCCAUUUUGGAAACGUUACAUGGACAAUAAUAUCCCAUUUUGGAAACGUUACAUGUACAAUAAUAUCCCAUUUUGGAAACGUUACAUGUACAAUAAUAUCCCAUUUUGGAAAUGUUACAUGUACAAUAAUAUCCCAUUUUGGAAACGUUACAUCUACAAUACUAUCCCAAUUUGGAAACGUUACAUGGACAAUACUAUCCCAUUUUGGAAACGUUACAUGUCCGCUUUAAUUAUCUUAAUUAUCUUUUCAGAUCUUCUCAGAAAUGAAUAAAGUCAAUGGAAUGGAUAUAGACAAAACGAGAUUUCAAGGACUAGCAGAGGUAGAGAGGCAGGGGUGAGGACAUCAUCCUGCUAUUUUGACAGUCCUUUUAGGACAGUACAGAAGAGGACUGGAGACCACAGCAGCGAUUCUGCUCUUGCCCAACCUCUUCAAAGAGGAACCGAGUGGCCUUUAUGUCCAUGACAAGAUUUCACCGCUCUUCACUCCUUUACUGCACAUCGGUGGAAAUCCAUUUCACCAUGAGAGUGAAAUCCCGCUGGCCUUUGAUGGGGAGAACAUCCACGCCCUCGAGGACGUCUCCAUGGGACUUUACUAGGGCUGUAUUUUUUAUUUUCCCUUAAAUUUCCCCAAAAUGUAAGAAAAACACUUAUGUUGUUAAGUUACUGUGUUCUGGGGAGAAGAGAAGUUGGGUGAAGUUACCAGGGCCGGUCAUAAAGAUGGCAAACUUCCUAACAUAACUAAGUGAAUAUGAAAUGCACAGUAAGCUGAAAAUCUGUAUUUAGCAUCAAGUCUACAAUGUUGUUUACCUAUGAUUCAUGUUUAAUGUAUGUUGUUUUUAUUCUACAUCAUCAUUUAAAAAUAUAUAUAUACAGUGCCUUGCGAAAGUAUUCGGCCCCCUUGAACUUUGCGACCUUUUGCCACAUUUCAGGCUUCAAACAUAAAGAUAUAAAACUGUAUUUUUUUGUGAAGAAUCAACAAGUGGGUCACAAUCAUGAAGUGGAAUGACAUUUAUUGGAUAUUUCAAACUUUUUUAACAAAUCAAAACCUGAAAAUUGGGCGUGCAAAAUUAUUCAGCCCCCCUAAGUUAAUACUUUGUAGCGCCACCUUUUGCUGCGAUUACAGCUGUAAAUCGCUUGGGGUAUGUCUCUAUCAGUUUUGCACAUCGAGAGACUGAAUUUUUUUCACAUUCCUCCUUGCAAAACAGCUCGAGCUCAGUGAGGUUGGAUGGAGAGCAUUUGUGAACAGCAGUUUUCAGUUCUUUCCACAGAUUCUCAAUUGGAUUCAGGUCUGGACUUUGACUUUGCCAUUCUAACACCUGGAUAUGUUUAUUUUUGAACCAUUCCAUUGUAGAUUUUGCUUUAUGUUUUGGAUCAUUGUCUUGUUGGAAGACAAAUCUCCGUCCCAGUCUCAGGUCUUUUGCAGACUCCAUCAGGUUCUUCCAUAAUGGUCCUGUAUUUGGCUCCAUCCAUCUUCCCAUCAAUUUUAACCAUCUUCCCUGUCCCUGCUGAAGAAUAGCAGGCCCAAUCCAUGAUGCUGCCACCACCAUGUUUGACAGUGGGGAUGGUGUGUUCAGGGUGAUGAGCUGUGUUGCUUUUAUGCCAAACAUAAUGUUUUGCAUUGUUGCCAAAAAGUUCAAUUUUGGUUUCAUCUGACCAGAGCACCUUCUUCCACAUGUUUGGUGUGUCUCCCAGGUGGCUUGUGGCAAACUUUAAACAACACUUUUUAUGGAUAUCUUUAAGAAAUGGCUUUCUUCUUGCCACUCUUCCAUAAAGGCCAGAUUUGUGCAAUAUACGACUGAUUGUUGUCCUAUGGACAGAGUCUCCCACCUCAGCUGUAGAUCUCUGCAGUUCAUCCAGAGUGAUCAUGGGCCUCUUGGCUGCAUCUCUGAUCAGUCUUCUCCUUGUAUGAGCUGAAAGUUUAGAGGGACGGCCAGAUCUUGGUAGAUUUGCAGUGGUCUGAUACUCCUUCCAUUUCAAUAUUAUCGCUUGCACAGUGCUCAUUGGGAUGUUUAAAGCUUGGGAAAUCUUUUUCUAUCCAAAUCCGGCUUUAAACUUCUUCACAACAGUAUCUCGGACCUGCCUGGUGUGUUCCUUGUUCUUCAUGAUGCUCUCUGCGCUUUUAACGGACCUCUGAGACUAUGCAUUUAUACGGAGACUUGAUUACACACAGGUGGAUUGUAUUUAUCAUCAUUAGUCAUUUAGGUCAACAUUGGAUCAUUCAGAGAUCCUCACUGAACUUCUGGAGAGAGUUUGCUGCACUGAAAGUAAAGGGGCUGAAUAAUUUUGCACGCCCAAUUUUUCAGUUUUUGAUUUGUUAAAAAA